rnacentral:rRNA from 1 species
GAUGAACGCUGGCGGCGUGCCUAAUACAUGCAAGUCGAGCGAACAGACGAGGAGCUUGCUCCUCUGACGUUAGCGGCGGACGGGUGAGUAACACGUGGAUAACCUUCCUAUAAGACUGGGAUAACUUCGGGAAACCGGAGCUAAUACCGGAUCAUAUAUUGAACCGCAUGGUUCAAUAGUGAAUGACGGUUUUGCUGUCACUUAUAGAUGUUGUCGCGUCGCAUUAGCUAGUUUGUAAGGUAACGGCUUACCAAGGCAACGAUGCGUAGCCGACCUGAGAGGGUGACCGGCCACACUGGAACUGAGACACGGUCCAGACUCCUACGGGAGGCAGCAGUAGGGAAUCUUCCGCAAUGGGCGAAAGCCUGACGGAGCAACGCCGCGUGAGUGAUGAAGGUCUUCGGAUCGUAAAACUCUGUUAUUAGGGAAGAACAAAUGUGUAAGUAACUAUGCACGUCUUGACGGUACCUAAUCAGAAAGCCACGGCUAACUACGUG